rnacentral:rRNA from 1 species
UACGUAGGGUGCAAGCGUUGUCCGGAAUUAUUGGGCGUAAAGAGCUCGUAGGCGGUUUGUCGCGUCUGCUGUGAAAACUCGGGGCUCAACUCCGAGCUUGCAGUGGGUACGGGCAGACUAGAGUGCGGUAGGGGAGACUGGAAUUCCUGGUGUAGCGGUGGAAUGCGCAGAUAUCAGGAGGAACACCGGUGGCGAAGGCGGGUCUCUGGGCAUUAACUGACGCUGAGGAGCGAAAGCAUGGGGAGCGAACAGG